AACGAACGCUGGCGGCAGGCUUAACACAUGCAAGUCGAACGCCCCGCAAGGGGAGUGGCAGACGGGUGAGUAACGCGUGGGAAUCUACCCAGUUCUACGGAACAACUGAGGGAAACUUCAGCUAAUACCGUAUACGCCCUACGGGGGAAGAUUAUCGGAAUUGGAUGAGCCCGCGUUGGAUUAGCUAGUUGGUGAGGUAACGGCUCACCAAGGCGACGAUCCAUAGCUGGUCUGAGAGGAUGAUCAGCCACACUGGGACUGAGACACGGCCCAGACUCCUACGGGAGGCAGCAGUGGGGAAUAUUGGACAAUGGGCGCAAGCCUGAUCCAGCCAUGCCGCGUGAGUGAUGAAGGCCCUCGGGUUGUAAACUGCUUUUGUACGGAACGAAACGGUCCUGGUUAAUACCUGGGGCUAAUGACGGUACCGUAAGAAUAAGCACCGGCUAACCUACGUGCCAGCAGCCGCGGUAAAGCUAACGUAGA
rnacentral:rRNA from 1 species